rnacentral:tRNA from 1 species
GGCUUUUUGGCUUAGUUGGUUAAAGCGCCAGAAUGUAAGACAGAGAUCGGGAGUUCGAAUCUUACCAAAGCCU